rnacentral:rRNA from 1 species
AACCUCCGCAAUGUGAGAAAUCGCGACGGGGGGAUCCCAAGUGCCAUUCUUAACGGGAUGGCUUUUCAUUAGUGUAAAGAGCUUUUGGAAUAAGAGCUGGGCAAGACCGGUGCCAGCCGCCGCGGUAACACCGGCAGCUCUAGUGGUAACAAUUUUUAUUGGGCCUAAAGCGUCCGUAGCCGGUUUAAUAAGUCUCUGGUGAAAUCCUGUAGCUUAACUGUGGGAAUUGCUGGAGAUACUAUUAGACUUGAGACCGGGAGAGGUUAGAGGUACUCCCAGGGUAGAGGUGAAAUUCUGUAAUCCUGGGAGGACCGCCUGUUGCGAAGGCGUCUAACUGGAACGGUUCUGACGGUGAGGGACGAAAGUUAGGGGCGCGAACCGGAUUAGAUACCCGGGUAGUCCUAACUGUAAACGAUGCGGACUUGGUGUUGGGGUGGCUUUGAGCUGCUCAGUGCCGAGGGAAGCUGUUAAGUCCGCGCGUGGGAAGUACGGUCGCAAGACUGAAACUUAAAGGAAUU